rnacentral:rRNA from 1 species
UACGUAGGCAGCGAGCGUUGUUCGGAGUUACUGGGCGUAAAGCGCGUGUAGGCGGCUAUGCAAGUCGGAUGUGAAAGCCCUCGGCUCAACCGGGGAAGUGCACCCGAAACUGCAAAGCUAGAGUCUCGGAGAGGAUCGUGGAAUUCUCGGUGUAGAGGUGAAAUUCGUAGAUAUCGGGAGGAACACCAGUGGCGAAGGCGGCGAUCUGGGCAGAUACUGACGCUGAGGUGCGAAAGCGUGGGGAGCAAACAGG